rnacentral:ncRNA from 10 species
AUCGUUCAUCCUUUCACAGGACGGAAGUAGUCUAAAUGACGAAGGAACGCAUU